UACAGGUCUAGCCCAGUAUCACAUGAAAGCAUUUUUGUUUUUUGUUUUUUGUUUUGAGACAGGGUCUCACUUUGUUACCCAGGCUGGAGUGCCAUGGCACCAUCCCCACUCACUGCAGCCUCGACCUCCUGGGCUAAAGCAAUCCUACUGCCUUGGCCCCCAAGUAGCUGGGACUACAGCUACCGGAGUUUUAGCCAAUUCAGAUGCUUUGUUCCCCACAAUUUGGAACAUUCCUUUGGAUGUGACCAAGUCAGGAAAAGAUGGUCAUACUUCAUGGGAGAAAUGUGAAACAACAAAACCCCAAACAUAAACAAAAACAGUUUAGCAAAACAAACAAAUUCAUAUGAAUACCAAGUGUUCUAACAGUAAGGAGAAAUUAAAACCAGCUGGUUGGUAAUCUUAACUUUUAGUCAUUAAGGAACAUUUUUAAGACAAAACUCUAAUUCAGCUACUUACCUGGAAAUAAAGCUCAGGCUGAUGAUCGCUCUCUACCAUCAUAGAGAGGCAGGAAAAAACUCACACUCACCUUCUCUGUCAGAAGCAAGUUGAAACUCAAGAAAGAAGGUGCCUGCUCUCCAUCGUCAUGGAAGCAGGAAAACUUGCCUUCCUUGUUGGAAAUGAGUAAAACUUCAGAAAAGGAGUUGUACAGCAAAAUAACUUCAAAUAGCAACCAAAUUUUGGGAGAUCAGGGACUCUCUGGAGGGGAGAAGCUCCCCAAGCUCCACAAAUUAGCCUAUUGGCUUGAGAAAUAAAGAUAACCCAGGUUGGUAUCAAGCAAAAAUAAAAGAUUUAUCAAAGGUCAGGGCCAUCUUUGUAAUGUCCUUCUCUGCCUUUUUUUUAAUCUUUAUUGGUAUAAAGUUUGUUUUGUCAGGAUAGGAUUGCAACACCUGCUUUCUCCUGUUUUCCAUUUGCUUGAAAGAUUUUUCUCCAUUCCUUUAUUUUGAGCCUAUGUGUGGCAUCGCAUGUGUGAUGGGUCUCUUGAAAACAGAAUACUCAAAUGGGUCUUGGUUCUUUAUCCAGCUUGCCCCUCUGUCUUUCAUUUGGAGCAUUUAGCCCAUUUACAUUUAAGGUUAGUAAUGAUAUGUGUGGAUUUCAUCCUGUCAUCAUGCUGUUGGCUGCUUAUUCUGCAGACUUGUCUGUGGUUUUUAGCAUCACUGGUCUGUGUACUUCAGUGCGUUUUUGUAGUGGCUGGUGAUAGUCUUUUCUUUCUGUAGUUAGUGCUUCCUUCAGGAGCUGUUUUAAGGCAGGUCUGGUGGUAAUGAAUUCCCUCAGCAUUUGCUUCUCUGAAAAGGAUCCUAUUUCUUCAUUUAUGAAGCUUAGUUUGGCUGGACAUGAAAUUCUGGGUUGAAACUUCUUUUAAUAAGUUCAAUAUUGGGCCCUACAAUCUCUUCUGGCUUGUAGGGUUUGAGCUGAGAAGUCUGCUGUAAGUCUGUUGGGAUUCCCUUUGUAGGUGACCUCACCUUUCUCCCUAGCUGCUUUUAACAUUUUUUUCUUUCAUUUUGACCCUGGAGAAUCUGAUGAUUAAGUGUCUUGGGGAUGAUCUUCUCAUGGCAUAUCUUACUGGGGUUCUCUGGAUUUCCUGAAUUUGAAUGUUGGCCUGUCUGGCUGGGUUGGGAAUAUUCUCAUGAAUGAUAUUCUGAAAUAUUUUUCCAAGUUGGUUCCAUUCUCAUCUUUCAGAUAUAUUAAUCAGUAAUAGAUUUGGUCUCUUUACAUAAUCCCAUAUUUCUCAAAGAUUUUGUUCAUUCCUUUUCAUUCUUUUUUCCCCCAUUCUUGUCUGCAUGUUUUAUUUCAAAAAGCCAGUUUUCAAGCUCUGAGAUUCUUUUUUCUUCUUGUUCUAUUCUGCUAGUUGGUCUUGCACAUGAGAUGGGGCUGGUCUGACCUCAGCACUCCUUAGUCUGCUUGCCUCUCCCAGGGCCCCAGCCUGGCCACACCUGCUUACAGGGCACUCUUGGGUGCCCACACACACUAAAAGAAUUUUCAUAAUGCAAUCACACACAAUCACCAUGUGACUGCGUUAUCAAAAUUCUUGUAGUUUGCUUUUCAGCUCUAUCAGGUUGGUUAUGUUCUUCUUUAUACUGGCUAUUUUGUCUGUUAGCUCCUGCAAUGUUUUACAAUGAUUUUUAGCUCCCUUGCAUUGGAUUACAACAUACUUCUUUCACUCAGUGAACUUUGUUCCUACCCAUAUUCUGAAUUCUACUUGUAUCAUUUCAGACAUCUCAGCCUUAGCCCAGUUCUGAACACUUGCUGGAGAGUUGACACAGUCAUUUGGAGGAAAGAAGGCAUGCUGACUUUUUGAGUUUUCAGUGUUCUUGCACAGAUUCUUUCUCAUCAUUAUGGGCUUACCACACCUUCAACUUUUGAGGUUGCUGACCUUUGGACAGGGUAUUUUUUUUUAUCAUAUUUGAUGACUUUGAGAGUUUGAUUGUGGUGUAAGGUGGAUUCAGCCAACUGGCUUUGUUUCUGGAGGAUUUUAGGGGGCCAACACUCAGCUCCCAAUUCCUGGACUGUGUGCUUUAACAUGGGGAACUUGUAUUGGGCCCCAACUUUGUUCCCUGCCUCCUCCAGGUUUGAAGUCCCCACUGUACUGGGGGACCAAAGCGCAGCAGCUGCAGCAGAGUGCUAACAGAUGCAAAAGUGCCUGCCUCCCUGCAGGCAUUCACCCAGUAGUGGAAGCAAGACAGCUGGGGUGGGGGGGCCAGGGGGGCCCUGCUGACUGUGUGUGCUGUUGCACUGGAGGAGGUAUUGGUUUGGGGUGGGGUGCUGGCAAGUGCAGGUCUGGGUGCCUUCUCUGUGCCCACCAAGCAACAGCAGUUGCUUAGGGUAUAAGAGGGUCCCCUUUUCUCUGUACAGCAUUAGCUCAAGGGCAAGGUGCUGGCAGGGUGGGCAUUUUUGGCUCUGUGCCCACCAUAGCUCCAUCGUCAAUAGCAGUUGACAUGUGUUGGGGUGUGUGGCUGCACUCCCGUGUGCUGGUAGGGCAAGUACAGCAAAACCCACCUGUGUAGACACACACCAGCAAAGUGAUAUAGGAAGUUUCCAUAUAAAGAAGAGCUGCAGUAUGGAGAGGCAAUGUGCAGGCUGGUGCAUGCCUGUAGGGGCCACAUUGCUGAGCUCUCCACUGGUCAAGCACAGUCCACUGGCACAGAAGCUAUGGUGUGGGCACCCAAGAGUGCCCUGUAAGCAAGUGUGGCCAGGCUGGGGCCCUGGGAGAGGCAAGCAGACUAAGGAUUGCUCAGGUCAGACCUGCCCCAUCUCAUGUACAAGACUGCCCAGCAGAUAUCAGGUCUGAGAGGAGAACUCUCUCAAAAGUAAAGACCCAGCACAGCAAAGCUGCUCUACGGAAAUGUGGCCAGACUUCUUUUUUAAGCAAGUCCCCUUUAUUAAGAAGCGAACUCUCAGACCUGAUCUCUGCUGGGCAAUCUUAACACGUGAGAUGUGGUUGGUCUGACCUCAGCACUCCUAAAGUGCUGGGGUAAAGUGUCUCAGAAGAGCAAGUGGAGCUUAGAUAGCUGUCCCUGACCUCCAGGCUCCACAUGAGCUGGCUUGCUGCUCCACCACUUUGCUUGCCUCCUGGUGGCUCUACCCCAGAGAGAUGUGAGUUAGCAAUUACUAAGUGCAAUCAGCCAGGUUGGAGGGUCUGUGCCGCGGGCCAAGCCAGGGUUCGCUGUCUGGUAAUGAGCAGUGGAGGGUGUGUGGGACCCGUGGAAGAUGGGCUGACAUGCUCCUUGAGCCAACUUCAGCUUAUGGGAGGUGUCGAUACAGCACUUAAAGUCUUUGCUUCCUUGAUAUUCUGAGGGUAGCAAGGACAGUUCCACUUCAGAGGCAGUGGCAGAGAGGAUUUCAGUUGCUCCUGGAAGCACUGUCCAGGGAACUGCCAAGUUGCUACUGGCUUGAUAGCUUCGGUCGGGGGUUGUCUAGAGACUCAGGCCAGGAGGACCUGCCCAUCAAGGAGAUAUGGAAACUGGCACCCACGUAACUGUCUGGCCACUUUUCCAUAGGGCUGCUGUGGCAUGCUGGGAGUCCACUUCAGUCCCUAGCUGCCUCAGAUUUUCCAGUGCCUGAUGCUAUCACCAGUGAAGCCUGCGAAAAGGCAAAGACGACAGCCUGCCCCUUCCUCUGGGAGUUCUGUACCACUGAGGUACGAACCUGUUGCCAAUUUGAACACACCUAUAGGAGGUGGCUGGAGGCAAGUUGAGAAGUCUUGCCUAGACAGGAGGAACAAGAACAGGGACUUGCUUAAAAAAGAGGUCUGCUCAACUGACAAAGGGCUAAUCCAGAAUCUACAAUGAACUCAAACAAAUUUACAAGAAAAAAACAAACAAUCCCAUCAAAAAGUGAGCAAAGGACAUGAACAGAAACUUCUCAAAAGAAGACAUUUAU
rnacentral:lncRNA from 10 species